rnacentral:rRNA from 1 species
AGAGUUUGAUCCUGGCUCAGAUUGAACGCUGGCGGAUGCCUAACACAUGCAAGUCGAACGGCAGCACAGCAGUAGCAAUACUGUGGGUGGCGAGUGGCGGACGGGUGAGGAAUACAUCGGGACCUGCCCAGACGUGGGGGAUAACGUAGGGAAACUUACGCUAAUACCGCAUACGUCCUACGGGAGAAAGCGGGGGAUCGCAAGACCUCGCGCGGUUGGAUGGACCGAUGUUCGAUUAGCUAGUUGGUGAGGUAAUGGCUCACCAAGGCGACGAUCGAUAGCUGGUCUGAGAGGAUGAUCAGCCACACUGGGACUGAGACACGGCCCAGACUCCUACGGGAGGCAGCAGUGGGGAAUAUUGACAAUGGGCGCAAGCCUGAUCCAGCAAUGCCGCGUGUGUGAAGAAGGCCUUCGGGUUGUAAAGCACUUUUAUCAGGAGCGAAAUACUACGGGCUAAUACCCUGUGGGGCUGACGGUACCUGAGGAAUAAGCACCGGCUAACUUCGUGCCAGCAGCCGCGGUAAUACGAAGGGUGCAAGCGUUAAUCGGAAUUACUGGGCGUAAAGCGUGCGUAGGCGGUUAUUUAAGUCUGCUGUGAAAUCCCCGGGCUCAACCUGGGAAUGGCAGUGGAUACUGGAUAGCUAGAGUGUGAUAGAGGAUGGUGGAAUUCCCGGUGAGCGGUGAAAUNNGUAGAGAUNNGGAGNNNCUCAUGGAAGGCGGCCAUCUUGAUCAANNCUNNCGCUGAGGCACGAAACGUGGGGAGCAAACAGGAUUAGAUACCCUAGUAGUCC